AUUGAACGCUGGCGGCAGGCCUAACACAUGCAAGUCGAGCGGAUGAAGGGAGCUUGCUCCUGGAUUCAGCGGCGGACGGGUGAGUAAUGCCUAGGAAUCUGCCUGGUAGUGGGGGAUAACGUCCGGAAACGGGCGCUAAUACCGCAUACGUCCUGAGGGAGAAAGUGGGGGAUCUUCGGACCUCACGCUAUCAGAUGAGCCUAGGUCGGAUUAGCUAGUUGGUGGGGUAAAGGCCUACCAAGGCGACGAUCCGUAACUGGUCUGAGAGGAUGAUCAGUCACACUGGAACUGAGACACGGUCCAGACUCCUACGGGAGGCAGCAGUGGGGAAUAUUGGACAAUGGGCGAAAGCCUGAUCCAGCCAUGCCGCGUGUGUGAAGAAGGUCUUCGGAUUGUAAAGCCCUUUAAGUUGGGAGGAAGGGCAGUAAGUUAAUACCUUGCUGUUUUGACGUUACCAAAAGAAUAAGCACCGGCUAACUUCGUG
rnacentral:rRNA from 1 species